UACGAGGGGGGGCGAGCGUUUGUUCGGAAUUAUUGGGCGUAAAGGGUGCGUAGGCGGUUUGGUAAGUCUUAUGUGAAAUCUAAUGGGCUCAACUCAUAGACUGCAUGAGAAACUGCCGGGCUUGAGUAUGGGAGAGGUGAGUGGAAUUCCUGGUGUAGCGGUGAAAUGCGUAGAUAUCAGGAGGAACACCUGUGGCGAAAAGCGGCUCACUGGACCAUAACUGACGCUGAUGCACGAAAAGCUAGGGGGAGCAAACAGG
rnacentral:rRNA from 1 species